rnacentral:rRNA from 1 species
GAUGAACGCUGGCGGCGUGCCUAAUACAUGCAAGUCGAGCGAACAGACGAGGAGCUUGCUCCUCUGACGUUAGCCGCGGAGGUGUGAGUAACACGUGGAUAACCCACCUAUAAUACUGGUAUAACUUCGGGAAACCGGAGCAAACACCGGAUGAUAUAUUGAACCGCAUUGGUCAAUAGUGAAAGUCGGUGGUGCGGUCACGUAUAGAUGGAUCCGCGCCGCAUUAGCUAGUUGGUAAGGUAACGGCUUACCAAGGCAAGGAUGCGUAGCCGACGUGAGAGGGUGAUCGGCCACACUGGAAGUGAGACACGGUCAAGGGUCCUACGGGAGGGAGCAGUAGGGAAUCUUCCGCAGUGGGCGAGAGCCUGACGGAACAGCGCCGAGUGAGUGAUGAAGGUGUUGGGAGCGUAAAAAUGUGUUAUUAGGGAAGAACCAAUGUGUAAGUAGAUAUGCACGUCUUGACGGUAACUAAUAAGAAAGCCACGGCUAACUACGUG